rnacentral:lncRNA from 1 species
UUUUUUUUUUUUCCUUUUUUCCUUCCUUCCUUCUUUCCCUCCUUCCUUCCAUUUAUUUUUUUUUCUUUUUCUUCUUUUGUUGUUGUUGUUGUUGUUGUUGUUGUUGGCUGUCUUGAGAGCUUCUCACCAUCUAACUAUGGAGGUCUGUAUUCUGUUCUAGGUUCCAGGUUAUUCCUCAGUUUUCAAAUGUAGCAUGGCUCCAUCAUCUUGAGUUUUAUUCUAGAGACUCACCCCAUGGCUCAACUUCCUUUCCUUCUCAGCUGCUGUUUCUAAUUCCUUUUAACAAAAGCAGGGAGAAUGAAGGUUCCAGUAGUUUCCUGGUCUUCAGUGUGCUGCACCAUGGCUCUUGGUGCGUCACAUCUGUCACCUUUUUCUUACUUAGCAACUGUAUGAAUCACUUUCCUUGUCCUGCGACCAAACACCAGACAGAAGCAGUAUCAGGAAGGGAUGGGAUGGUGCUCUGUGGCUCACAGCUUAAGGGUGUGGUGACACAGGGUGCCUGUCACACUGUGUCUACUGUCAGGAAACGCAGAGAGAUGACUGCUGGAUGCUGAUACUCAGCCUGCUUGACCGUUUGACCUGCUUUAGCGCUUGAUCCAACCCAUGGGGUGAUGUCUCCCAUUCUCAGGAUGGCUCCUCAUCCUUCAAACUCACCUGAAAAUACUUUGGUAGAUAGGUUUGAGCUUGCUUCUUGGGUGAUUCAAAAUCCUGUCGAGUUAACACUCCGAGUUACCUAUCACAGCUGCUUUGUAUGUGUCUUUAUUUUCCUGUAGCUUUGUAAAGUUCUGAUCAGCUUUGGUUCUUUCAUGUUUGUAUUGUUAUGUGCCAGACUGGGGACAUCCUUUAACGUAACUGAAACUUGCCGUCUUGUUCACUCUCAGCAGCGAGGGUGAACCAUUUGCUGAGCCAGAUUUGGUCUGUGACUUGAAGUCCCGUGUCACAUGUGCCUUGUUUAGCUUUGUCUUUCUACUGCUUUUGACAUUUCUAUUGCUCAUUUUCUACAUCUCCAUAUAGUCAGUUUAGGUUUCCACUAAAAUAUGCAAUAUUUGGGGUUUUCAGAGCAUACAAUACAGUAGUCAGUAGUAUUGUAUUAAUAUUAGAAGAAAGAUUUUAUAGAAAAUAGACUUAGCAGUUUCUUUGAACAUUUAAAGACUUGUAAAUCUGGCGGCUCCAGAGGAAGGAUAAAGUGUUGUGUUCCAGGGCCUUAGAUAAGGACUGUCCUGUAGUGCUGCUAGGUGUGGCUCUCUUAGUCCUCACUUCUCUCAGGUGAUGACUGUCCACAGAUAAGAGAGUAUACACAAACUAGCUUUUCCUUCUGCUUUACCAGUUUCAUUACCUAGCUUAAUAAGAGUUCAAAUAGCCCAGAGAUUUAGUUAUUUAAAAUUCUGGCAGCAUAUUUUGGAAUUAAAAAAGCAUUUAAAAUUGUUUUAUAGCUUUUCUUUUUUGCAUUUAUGUGUUUGUGUGUGCUCAGGUAUGGAGGUGUGUGGCUUCCUGAUUAUCUAGACUCAGUGGUCAACAAGCCACAGGGGUCCUCCUGUCUGUGCCCCUUCCUGCCUUGUGGUUACAGACACAUAGUGUCAAGCUGUUCUUUCCAUGUGGUUGUCAUGUUCAUAUGGAAGCACGUCACCACCUGAGCUAGCCUCCUCAGCCCCCACAGAUUAAUUAGCAAUGUGAGUUUCUUUGUGCGUGAACCUGCAGCUUAAAGAAAGGAACGUAUCAUGUUUGAGAAGGGGGUUUCAGCAAAUGCUGCUUGUCAGACAUGGGUUGCCAUAGAGGUAGAUAAUAGCCCAUUGGUAAAGGACUUACCUAGUUAGUGCCGGGCUCUGGAUUUCUCCCCAGUAUGGUAAGGAAACUAAACAUGGAUCCUGUAAUAGGCAGUAAUUUGAAGUGUUUUUUUCUUUCUUUGUUUUCUCCCACCCUCCCUUCUCUCCUUUCUCCCUUCCUUCCUCCUUCCUUCCUUUUUUUCUUUCUGAUUUUCUUCCUUUCCUUCCUUCCUUUCUUUUCUUGUUUGCUGUUGCUGCUUCAGUCUUCUGAGUGCUGGGAUUAUAGGUGUAACCCAUCAGGUCUACCCAAAUGUUUUUGUUUGUUUAUUUCUGGAUUAAAAAUUAGCAUGCACUAGGCGGUGGUGGCGCACGCCUUUAGUCCCAACACUCAGGAGGCAGAGGCAGGCAGAUUUCUGAGUUCGAGGCCAGCUUGGUCUACACAGAGAAACCCUGUCUCAAAAAACCAAAAAGGAAAAAAAAAAA